rnacentral:rRNA from 1 species
GAGUUUGAUCCUGGCUCAGGAUGAACGCUGGCGGCGUGCCUAAGACAUGCAAGUCGAGUGGGUUUAGGCCCACGGCAAACGGGUGAGUAAUAUCUAGGAACAUACCUAUAGUUGAGCAUAACCUACCGAAAGGUAGAGCAAUUCUCAAUGUGACCGCAAGGUUAAAGUCGCAAGACGCUAUAGAAGUGGCCUGGACACCAUCAGCUAGUUGGUAAGGUAAUGGCUUACCAAGGCUUUGACGGUUAGGGGCCCCGAGAGGGGAAACCCCCACACUGGAACUGAGACACGGUCCAGACUCCUACGGGAGGCAGCAGUUUGGAAUUUUGGACAAUGGGCGAAAGCCUGAUCCAGCGACGCCGCGUGGAGGAUGAAGGUCUUCGGGUUGUAAACUCCUGUCAUUUGGGAACAAGUGCCAACAAGUAACUACUGUUGGCUUGAUAGUACCAGAAGAGGAAGAGACGGCUAACUCUGUGCCAGCAGCCGCGGUAAUACAGAGGUCUCAAGCGUUGUUCGGAUUCAUUGGGCGUAAAGGGUGCGUAGGUGGCGCCGUAAGUGGGGUGUGAAAUUUCGGAGCUUAACUCCGAAACUGCGUUCCAUACUGCGGUGCUUGAGGACUGGAGAGGAGACUGGAAUUUACGGUGUAGCAGUGAAAUGCGUAGAGAUCGUAAGGAAGACCAGUGGCGAAGGCGGGUCUCUGGACAGUUCCUGACACUGAGGCACGAAGGCCAGGGGAGCAAACGGGAUUAGAUACCCCGGUAGUCCUGGCAGUAAACGGUGCACGUUUGGUGUGGGGGGAUUCGACCCCUUCUGCGCCGGAGCUAACGCGUUAAACGUGCCGCCUGGGGAGUACGGUCGCAAGAUUAAAACUCAAAGAAAUUGACGGGGGCCCGCACAAGCGGUGGAGUAUGUGGCUCAAUUCGAUGCAACGCGAAGAACCUUACCAGGCCUUGACAUGCAUCUCUUAACCGGUGAAAGCCGGCGAGUGUCGAAAGACACAAUUUGCACAGGUGCUGCAUGGCUGUCGUCAGCUCGUGUCGUGAGAUGUUGGGUUAAGUCCCGCAACGAGCGCAACCCCUGUGAACUGUUGCUACUCCCACACACGUGGGAAGCACUCUGUUCAGACUGCCUCGCUUAAACGAGGAGGAAGGUGGGGACGACGUCAAGUCAGUAUGGCCCUUACGGCCUGGGCUGCACACGUACUACAAUGCCCAGCACAGAAUGAUCCGAGACCGCGAGGUGGAGGAAAUCUCUAAAACUGGGCCCAGUUCGGAUUGGAGGCUGCAAUUCGCCUCCAUGAAGCCGGAAUCGCUAGUAAUGGCGCAUCAGCUACGGCGCCGUGAAUACGUUCCCGGGCCUUGUACACAC